rnacentral:tRNA from 4 species
GGGCGCGUAGCUCAGUUGGUUAGAGCGCCUGCUUCACACGCAGGAGGUCGCAGGUUCGAGUCCUGCCGCGCCCACCA